rnacentral:misc_RNA from 1 species
GGCUCGAAGUACUGAUGCAGUUUCAGCCUGCCGUGCUCUAGUCAAUGUCCUUGAAGAGCAGCCUACAGAAGAAAUGAAAGUUGUGGCUAUAUGUGCUUUGCAGAACCUUGUUAUGUACAGCCGGUCUAACAAAAGAGCAGUUGCAGAAGCUGGUGGUGUUCAGGUUGUAUUGGAUUUGAUUGGUUCGAGUGAUCCAGAUACAUCUGUCCAGGCUGCGAUGUUUGUUAAACUUCUCUUCUCCAAUCACACCAUUCAGGAGUAUGCUUCCAGUGAAACAGUUAGAGCUAUAACUGCUGCUAUUGAGAAAGAUUUAUGGGCCACUGGAGUUGUGAAUGAGGAGUAUCUAAAAGCUCUAAAUUCUCUCUUCAGCAACUUCCCACGUCUGAGGGCAACUGAACCUGCAACACUCAGUAUACCUCAUUUGGUUACAUCCCUUAAGACAGGUUCAGAAGCAACUCAAGAAGCUGCCUUGGAUUCACUUUUUCUUCUCAGGCAAGCUUGGUCAGCAUGCCCAGCUGAAGUUUCAAGAGCUCAAUCCCUGGCUGCUGCAGAUGCUAUCCCCUUGUUGCAAUACUUGAUUCAGUCUGGCCCACCCCGAUUUCAGGAGAAAGCUGAAUUCUUACUGCAGUGUUUGCCUGGUACAUUGGUAGUUAUUAUCAAGCGUGGAAAUAACAUGAAGCAGUCAGUUGGAAACCCAAGUGUAUAUUGCAAACUGACACUCGGCAACACUCCUCCAAGACAAA